rnacentral:rRNA from 1 species
CGAGUCCAGGUCCUUCGGGACUGAGGCGAGUGGCGGACGGGUGAGUAACACGUGAGCAAUCUAUCCUGUUGCGGGGGACAACGAGGGGAAACCUUCGCUAAUACCGCAUAGUCGAGAGAUCCGCCUGGGUCUUUCGGGAAACGUGGCCUCUUUACAAUGCUACGGCGGCAGGAGGAGCUCGCGGGCUAUCAGCUAGUUGGUGAGGUAACGGCUCACCAAGGCUACGACGGCUACGGGGUCUGAGAGGACGACCCCGCACAUUGGAACUGAGACACGGUCCAGACUCCUACGGGAGGCAGCAGAGGGGAAUAUUGGGCAAUGGCCGAAAGGCUGACCCAGCGACGCCGCGUGUGGGAGGAAGCCCUUCGGGGUGUAAACCACUGUCAGGAGGGACGAAAGAGCGGGGAGUGAAUAAUUCUCCGCAGUGACGGUACCUUCAAAGGAAGCACCGGCUAACUCUGUGCCAGCAGCCGCGGUAAUACAGAGGGUGCAAGCGUUGUUCGGAAUUACUGGGCGUAAAGCGCGCGCAGGCGGGUCCUGUAAGUCGGAAGUGAAAUUUCACGGCUCAACCGUGAAGCUGCUUCUGAUACUGCGGAUCUGGAGAUCGGUAGAGGUCGGUAGAAUUACAGGUGUAGCGGUGGAAUGCGUAGAUAUCUGUAAGAAUACCCGUGGCGAAGCGGCCGACUGGGCCGGAUCUGACGCUGAGGCGCGAAAGCGUGGGGAGCAAACAGGAUUAGAUACCCUGGUAGUCCACGCCGUAAACGAUGGGCACUAGGUGCCGGGGGGGAGCGACCCCUUCGGUGCCGCAGCUAACGCGAUAAGUGCCCCGCCUGGGGGAGUACGGCCGCAAGGCUGAAACUCAAAGGAAUUGACGGGGGCCCGCACAAGCGGUGAA